AGUUUAGAAAUUAUUGUUUUAGUCAUAAUAUUGACUUAUUUUAAGACCUAGAACACCUUCCUAAUCUGGAACAUCUUAUAGCAUUAUUUAGGGUAUAAAACUUAAUAAUUUUUUUUUUUUUUUGAGACAGAGUUUUGCUCUGUCUUGCCCAGGCAUGAAGUUGGCUCACUGCAGCCUCCGACUACAGGUUUCAAGUGAUUCUCCUGCCUCAGCCUCUUGAGUAGCUGCGUCUACAGGCAGGUGUCACCACACCCGGCUAAUUUUGUAUUUUUAAUAGAGACAGGGUUUUACCAUGUUGGCCAGACUGGUCUCAAACUCCUGACCUCAGGUGAUCCACCCACCUCUCAAACUCCUCACCUCAGGUGAUCCACCCACCUCGGCCUUCAAAAGUGCUGGGACUACAGAUUCCAGGGAAAGAUCAAUUACUCUGGACAGAAGGACCCCUUGCAUAAAGUGGCUGCUUCAACUGCUCUGACCACAGCACUUUCACUGACUACAACUCUAGACACAGUAACUAUUUGGGCACACCACAAUAAACUGACAGGCACCUUCCACUCCCUGUGAGUCUCUUCUUGCCCUUAGACAAAACAUAGCUGACAAUAUGUUAACAGUGUGUG
rnacentral:lncRNA from 1 species